GCCUCUGUAGCUCAGUCGGUAGAGCAGGGGACUGAAAAUCCCCGUGUCGAUGGUUCGAUUCCGUCCGGAGGCA
rfam:Ruminococcus sp. CAG:579 genomic scaffold, scf344